rnacentral:lncRNA from 1 species
GAGCAAGCAGCUGGUUCUCUGUGCCUGUACACCGGGACAGGUGCAAGGCAGCCUGAGCGGGGCUGCAGUUUUCCCAACACAGCGGAUGGCGCCAGACAGGGCCCAGCUCCAGGCGGCCUCAGCGGGCGGCGUGGGAACCUGCUCCGGGGGCGCGCGGCCUGCUCGGUUCGCAGGCUCCCGGGCCGGGCUGUCACCUGGGGAACAGAGGUUCGGGAGGUAGGGGCGUCACCCCAGCAGGCCCUGCACGGCCCCCGAAGCGCCCGCACUCGCAGGGCCAUUUGCGGGAGGCCCCCGGGGGCAGUGCGGGGCAGCGGGGCUCGAGCCACCGAGGUUGCGUGCUGCUGGGCGCAGGUACGCAGGCCCCGCAGGUGCGCAGGCCCGGCAAGGUCAGCAGGCCCUGGCCCUGCAGGCCCUGGCCCCGCAGGUACGCAGGCCCCGCAGGUGCGCAGGCCCGGCAAGGUCAGCAGGCCCAGCAGGUCAGCAGGCUCCGCAGGUACGCAGGCCCAGCAGGAACGCAGGCCCGGCAGGCCCAGGCCCGCAGGUCAGCAGACCCGGCAGGUACGCAGGCCGGGCAGGUCAGCAGGCCCUGCAGGUCCAGGCUUCGCAGGUCCGCAGAUUGGCAGGUCAGCAGAUCUGCAGGUCCCGCGGGUCCGCAGGUCCGCAGGUCUAGGCCCCGCAGGUGGGCAGGCCCCGCAGGCCCCGCAGGUCCCGCAGGUCCGCAGGUGGGCAGGUGGGCAGGUGGGCAGGUCCCCAGGCCCCGCAGGUCGGGAGGUCAGGAGGUCCGCAGGUGGGCAGGUCCGCCGGUCUAGGCCCCGCAGGUGGGCAGGCCCCGCAGGUCCCACAGGUCCGCAGGUGGGCAGGUGGGCAGGUCCCCAGGCCCGCGGCCGUCCGCGCCGCGCCGCCGUUGCUAGGCGACCUCCGCCGUCCCCGAGGCGGCCCCGCCCCCCGGCCCAUCGGCCCCGCGCUCGCCGGCGCCCACCUUCCCUUUGUUCCGCAGCCAUCUCGGGCCGGACGGGAGGCGGCGGCUUCGGCAGAGGGCCCGAGCGCCGGAGGCCUCUGGGAUGGUGUGGGACCGGGAGUGACCGCCUCUUGGCCUCCUGCCAGUCAGAAGCCCGCCUGGGCCGGGAGCGCUCGCAGCCUAAGUCCGUUACCCUAACCAAGCCGCGCACCGGUUGGCUCCAUCAGCAGACGUAG